rnacentral:lncRNA from 1 species
AGGUUUGCUGGAGUUUGGAUUUACUACCGAGUCAUAUUUGGAGCAUGCUGGAAUCUUACAACUGAGAUUACCGAGUCAGAAACUCGCAAACAUGAGUAACAUGGCCCUGCUCUGGAGACUACUGGGAACACAAACACAGCCAUUUAAGACAUCUCCCUGCUUCUCCUUUGCCUUCCAUCAUGACUGAAAGUUGUCUGAGGUCUCCCAGCCAUGUGUCCUGUACAGCCUGUGGAACUAUGUAGAAAGGAAAAAGGGAGAGAAAUGGAGACAUUUAUUGAAUCCAGGCACCAUGCUGUGGAUUGCUAAAUACAGCUUCGUAAUUUGCAUCUAGUUAUCUGGUCUUCCAAGCUAGCUUUUUCAAGUAUUUUUACCUUUACACAUAAAGUUCUAUUGGAGAUGUACUUCACCCUUUUCUGCACUAAAGAGUUUAAUUUUUCAA